rnacentral:rRNA from 1 species
GAUGAACGCUGGCGGCGUGCUUAACACAUGCAAGUCGAACGGAAAGGCCCAAGCUUGCUUGGGUACUCGAGUGGCGAACGGGUGAGUAACACGUGGGUGAUCUGCCCUGCACUUCGGGAUAAGCCUGGGAAACUGGGUCUAAUACCGGAUAGGACCACUUCUUGGAUGUUGUGGUGGAAAGUUUUUUCGGUGUGGGAUGAGCUCGCGGCCUAUCAGCUUGUUGGUGGGGUAAUGGCCUACCAAGGCGUCGACGGGUAGCCGGCCUGAGAGGGUGUACGGCCACAUUGGGACUGAGAUACGGCCCAGACUCCUACGGGAGGCAGCAGUGGGGAAUAUUGCACAAUGGGCGCAAGCCUGAUGCAGCGACGCCGCGUGGGGGAUGACGGCCUUCGGGUUGUAAACUCCUUUCGCUAGGGACGAAGCGUUUUGUGACGGUACCUGGAGAAGAAGCACCGGCUAACUACGUGC